CAAAAGCCAUUGCUUCAUUCCAGACAUCUGAUUUUACUGCUUGUUGGUAGUUCAACGUUGAUUGAAUGGACAAGAUAUAGUGAAAGUAUGAUGGAGAGAGAGAAUUGUAACAUAGAACAGAAGAGAGAAAAUGUGGUGUACCUUUGGAGUAAUGAUUGGUAUUGGCAGUAGAUGAAGCAACAUUACAAUGAUAAUCAACAAGGUCAGUUGGUGUUUUCCUUGUUCUGCUAGAAAAUCUUGUUGGCUGAGAUUGGUUUAGGUUGAAAAAAGAAGGUGGGGAAGGGCCUUGUGGAUUAGAACUAGGAAAAGGAUCUGUAGUCUAUUUCAAAAAUAUUUAAUACCUGAAUAGGAGGUGAAGUUUGGUGAGUCUGACGAGGAAAGACAUGUUCUUGAAAAACGAGAUUCUUUGAAACAAAAUUUUCUUUAUUGUGAAGAUCCCUUAAGACAUACCCCUUUGUUCCUGCUUUAUAGCUAAGAGAAA
rnacentral:lncRNA from 1 species